UCGGGAAUUUUGGGCAAUGGGCGAAAGCCUGACCCAGCAACGCCGCGUGAAGGAUGAAGUAUUUCGGUAUGUAAACUUCGUAAGAAUAGGAAGAAUAAAUGACGGUACUAUUUGUAAGGUCCGGCUAACUACGUGCCAGCAGCCGCGGUAAUACGUAGGGACCAAGCGUUAAUCGGAAUUACUGGGCGUAAAGCGCGCGUAGGUGGUUAGUUAAGUUGGAUGUGAAAUCCCCGGGCUCAACCUGGGAACUGCAUUCAAAACUGACUGACUAGAGUAUGGUAGAGGGUGGUGGAAUUUCCUGUGUAGCGGUGAAAUGCGUAGAUAUAGGAAGGAACACCAGUGGCGAAGGCGGCCAACUGGCUCGAUACUGACGCUGAGGUGCGAAAGCGUGGGGAGCAAACAGGAUUAGAUACCCCAGUAGUCCCUGAGCGGGCUGGCAAGGCGCAU
rnacentral:rRNA from 1 species